CAUGGCUCAGGAUGAACGCUGGCGGCGUGCCUAAUACAUGCAAGUCGAAACGAGGUGCUUUUGUAGCAAUACGAGAGUAUCCUAGUGGCGAACGGGUGAGUAACGCGUGGAUGACCUGCCCCAAAGUGUGGGAUAACAGUCCGAAAGGAUUGCUAAUACCUCAUGUGGUUAUCGGUUUUAGAAAGCGAUAACUAAAGCAGCAAUGCGCGUUUGGGAGGGAUCUGCGUCCCAUCAGCUAGUUGGUGAGGUAACGGCUCACCAAGGCGACGACGGGUAGGGGACCUGAGGAGGGUCGGCCCCCCACAAUGGAACUGAAACACGGUCCAUACACCUACGGGUGGCAGCAGUAGGGAAUAUUGCUCAAUGGGCGAAAGCCUGAAGCAGCAACGCCGCGUGUGCGAUGAAGGCCUUCGGGUCGUAAAGCACUUUCUAAGAGAUGAGAAAGGACAGUAUCUUAGGAAUAAGUCUCGGCUAACUACGUG
rnacentral:rRNA from 1 species